AGAGUUUGAUCAUGGCUCAGGACGAACGUUGGCGGCGUGCUUAAUGCAUGCAAGUCGAACGAGGAACCCUCCCUGGGUAACCAGGGGGACGUUGCCUAGUGGCGAACGGGUGAGUAACACGUGAGGAACCUGCCCCGGAGACCGGAAUAGCCCAGGGAAACUUGGAUUAAUGCCGGAUACCCUCGGAAGGCCGCAUGGCCUGCCGAGGAAAUGGUCCGCCGCUCCGGGAUGGCCUCGCGGCCUAUCAGCUAGUUGGUGAGGUAACGGCUCACCAAGGCAGUGACGGGUAGCUGGUCUGAGAGGACGAUCAGCCACACUGGGACUGAGACACGGCCCAGACUCCUGCGGGAGGCAGCAGCAGGGAAUUUUGCACAAUGGGCGCAAGCCUGAUGCAGCGACGCCGCGUGGGGGAUGACGGCCUUCGGGUUGUAAACCCCUUUCAGGAGGGACGAAGCGAAAGUGACGGUACCUCCAGAAGAAGCCCCGGCCAACUACGUGCCAGCAGCCGCGGUAAUACGUAGGGGGCGAACGUUGUCCGGAUUUAUUGGGCGUAAAGAGCUCGUAGGCGGCUCAGCAAGUCGGCCGUGAAAGCCCGGGGCUCAACCCCGGGACGCCGGUCGAAACUGCUGUGGCUAGGGUCCGGUAGAGGAGAGUGGAAUUCCCGGUGUAGCGGUGAAAUGCGCAGAUAUCGGGAGGAACAUCAUUAGCGAAGGCGGCUCUCUGGGCCGGCACCGACGCUGAGGAGCGAAAGCUAGGGGAGCAAACAGGAUUAGAUACCCUGGUAGUCCUAGCCGUAAACGUUGGGUACUAGGCGUGGCGAAUUCAUUGACAUUUGCCGUGCCGAAGCUAACGCAUUAAGUACCCCGCCUGGGGAGUACGGUCGCAAGGCUAAAACUCAAAGGAAUUGACGGGAGCCCGCACAAGCGGCGGAGCAUGCGGCUUAAUUCGAUGCAACCCCGAAGAACCUUACCUGGGGCUUGACAUCAUGGGGAAAAACCGUAGAAAUACCGGGGUGGCGUAAACGUCCCUGAAAAAG
rnacentral:rRNA from 1 species